rnacentral:SRP_RNA from 1 species
UCGUGCUAGGCGGGGAGCCAGCGGUGCCCUGUACCCGCAAUCCGCUCUAGCGGGGCUGAAUCCCCUCCCGAGGUCCGGCAUCGCGGAUCCUGCGUGCGCGUGGAGG